rnacentral:rRNA from 1 species
GACGAACGCUGGCGGCAUGCCUAAUACAUGCAAGUCGAGCGAACAGAUGAAGUGCUUGCACUUCUGACGUUAGCGGCGAACGGGUGAGUAACACGUAAGGAAUCUACCUAUAAGCGGGGGAUAACAUUCGGAAACGGGUGCUAAUACCGCAUAAUAUCUUCUUCCGCAUGGAAGAAGAUUGAAAGACGGCUCUGCUGUCACUUAGAGAUGAACUUGCGGUGCAUUAGUUAGUUGGUGGGGUAACGGCCUACCAAGACGAUGAUGCAUAGCCGACCUGAGAGGGUGAUCGGACACAUUGGGACUGAGACACGGCACAAACUCCUACGGGAGGCAGCAGUAGGGAAUCUUCCGCAAUGGGCGAAAGCCUGACGGAGCAAUGCCGCGUGAGUGAAGAAGGCCUUCGGGUCGUAAAACUCUGUUAUAAGAGAAGAACAAAUUGUAGAGUAACUGCUACAGUCUUGACGGUAUCUUAUCAGAAAGCCACGGCUAACUACGUGCCAGCAGCCGCGGUAA